rnacentral:lncRNA from 10 species
CAUCAAUGUAUAUGGAGAUUCUUCGGACUGUCCAGAUAUCAUCUCUUCCUGUUAGAUCUAGGAAUCAUUUCUUCACACUCCUUACUGUCAAAUGCACCAUUCUUGAAUAUUUCAUGUCUCCAACCACAAGAAAAAAGGGUAUCACACUGCUACAGCUCUUCGAAACCUAUUUAAAUUGAAACAAUUUGUAUCUUCUUGCCUCUGUAGUUUCCUAAUGCCAUUUAAUGUCAGUUAUAGUGUUACUCAUGACAGGGAAUUAUCCAGUUUAUGGCCUAAAUACCAACUUCCAAUGACUCUCUCAAAGGUUACUUUAUUACUUUAUGUUGUUGGUGAUGAUCACAAAUGCAAGUCUUAUCCAGAAUAUGCCAGAAAAUGAGAAUGAUAAUUAAUUUUCAGGCCAUGUAGAAUUUGCCAUUUGGAGUUUUGUAGUAUAAACAUAAAACAUAUCUUCCAAUCAUAUUUUCUCUUGAACUCUUUAAGCCGUAAUUACUGCAUUCCUAGAACGUGACCUCUUUUACAACUAACCACAUUCCUACCUUCCACACAUUGCUACUAGCAAGAGACCCGUGGGCAGAGUGAAAAAAGCAUCCUGUUCAUGCAAGGAGUGAUUAUCCUUCAUCUUGCACAGAUUAAGACCAACCCAAGAAAGCAUGUUAUCACCCACCAGUUGGAGGCAAGAGAGAACAUUGACAGGAAAUGCCCCAUUGGGGCUAGGAGCGGUGGCUCAUGCCUGUAAUCUCUGCUCACUGUAACCUCCCUCUCCCAGGUCCAAGCAAAUCUCCUGCCUCAGCCUCCCAAGUAGCUGGGAUUACAUGUGCCUGCCACCAUGCCCAGCUUUUUUUUUUUUUUUUUUUUUUUUUCAGUUCAACAUCUUUAUUAACAGUUUUGAAACAUUAAUUCACAGGAAAACUGGUAGGCUCCAAGAUGCUGGACCCCACCUGAUGUCUAGGCUCCAACUCAGACUAAUUAAACCAAUAUUGCUAGAAGAGGGCCCUGUAACUUUUUUUUAAUUAAAAAAUUUUUAAACUCCCCAAGGUAAUGUUUUGUUGUUGUUGUUUGUUUGUUUGCUUGUUUUGAGACAGAGUCUUGCUCUGUCGCCCAGGCUGGAGUGUAAUGGCAUGAUCUUGGCUCACUGCAACCUCCACCUCCCAGGUUCAAGUGAUUCUCCUUUCUCAGCUUCCCAAGUAGUUGGGACUAUAGGCUUGCACCACCAUGCCGGGCUAAUUUUUGUAUUUUUGGUAGAGAUGGGGUUUUGCCAUGUUGGCCAGGCUAGUCUUGAACUCUUGACCUCAGGUGAUCCACCUGCCUCAGCCUCCCAAAGUACUGGGAUUACAGGCGUGAGCCACCAUUCCUGGACAGUAAUGUUAAUAAGCAGCAAAGCUCAGAACAACUUAAAAAAAAUUUUUUUUUGAGACAGGGUCUCACUCUGUCACCUAGGCUGGAGUGCAGUGGUGCAAUCAUAGCUCACUACAUCCUUAAUCUCUGGGGCUCAUGCAAUCCUCACACCUUAGCCUAACCCAAAUAGCUAGGAUUACAGGCAUGUGCCACCACGCCUGGCUAAUUUUUCUAUUUUUUGUAGAGAUGAGGUCUCCCUACGUUGCCCAGGCUGGUCUUGAACUCCUGGGCUCUAGUGUUCUUCCCACCUCAGCCUCCCAAAGUGUUAGGAUUACAGGCAUAAGCCACCACACCUGGCCAAAAACUUGUACAGAGUGUUUUGAAGACAAUAUUUGAGUGUCUUCCAAACAGUAGAGGAGACAUCCCUUGGCCCAUAGGUAGAUAGUCAUUGAUUAAUAAAUGUGUCAAUGAAGAAUAUAGAAGAAACUUAUAAUACAGAUCCUUCCACAAAGGUGCUAGUGGCCUAACUAGGAUCAUAUCCAGUAUACUCAAAUUAAUUAAGGCUAAUUAAAUAGUAUAUAUAGAUCCCACAAUUUCUUACUUGAAACUUUUGGGGCCAAUGCAUUUUGGCCAACAUUUUCAGAUUUUAAAAAGCACUAUUGUAUGUUAAUGUGUGUAUGUUUAUAUCAUAUAUGACUAACACACUCUUAGAAGGACCUACUCAUAACAAAACACAGUGAUAUUUCCACAGUGAAAUAUGUAAUGGUCACAUAGCAUAAAUAAACAAGAUAAAUAGCCUCACAUUGUCAAUCUAGUCAGGUGUCAUAUCUAAAUGAGUUUUGGGGCCACUUUGAAAAAAACUUUCCAUUUUCAGAGCUUCAGAGAUUUGGGUACUGUAGAUAAGGGACUGGGAUCUGUCAUAUGGGCUCAACACAGAUCCUGGAAGUGUAGAGAGGAAGCUACAUUGGAAUUAGAAGACUCGGUGAAAGUCUUGUGAAUGAGGCAGAAUUUGAGCUACAGUGAGUUAAUUUUCUGCCCCUGGGAGGUGAGGUCCCCACAAUGCCUUGUCACCCUGUUAUCAGCCAUGGAAGCUAUAUUUUCCUGCUUGAGCCACUAGGCGCCUGUGGAGUAUUUUGUAAAUUGCUUUCCUGCGAUAGUCUACGUGGUCAGAUUAAACAAAAAAAACAAAAACAAAACAAAACAAAACAAAAGAAAAACAUGACCCACUGAGAUUUGCCCAAAGUGAAGACCCGGAGGAGAUGAGUAUGCCCAUCAAACAGUGCCGGAACGCUUAGGGAGAGAAGCUGGACGGAAGCUGAAGAGGAUGGAGCCACAUCUGAAUACUAGAGAAUAUAGGCUUUAAUCCCUGGCUAAUUCCAUUCUCUUAAUAAUUCACUCCAUACAAUGGAGAUCUUUCACAUUUCAUUCCUAAAUCCUUGGUUUACCUACCAGACAGAUUGCUAACGUGGCCGAUUUUCUCUGACACCUAUUCUUCUUUCCCCUCUUCCCAUCCUAUUUCUCAUUUUUUCCCCCUUACCUUAGAUAAUCUUUUGUCUCUUUCCCCGGAGAGGGAUUCGCCCUCAGGAAGCAUAGGAAUCUGCCUUGGCUGGGUCAUCACCUUUCACCACUUCAUUACCACCUCUAAAACAUCAGGCCAGCCCACAGAUGGAGACAUACCUCCUGUCCACUAUUAUUAGAAUUCCCUGGGAGACAACACUGUUCCUAAGAGGUUAUUGCUGGAAGUGAGUCAGAGGUAUAAGGGAUAUAUUGAAUCAGGGACGUCUAGGAGGAUACUAAAGUGGUUGCCUGUCUGUGAAAACAGGAAGGAUAAAGAGAAUAAAGACAGAAAGAACAGGAAAAUGCAAGCCAGGUCAGAGUAAAGCAAACCGUUCUUCCCUUCAGUCUCCCAUUUAUGUAUGUCCCUGACUUGGGUCUAUAAUAGUCUAGGAAUGUGAAGCAGAGAAAAACUCUAGGGGAAGGAAAUCUCAAAAUUCAGUCACACGGUGAAUCCUUACAGCUAUGUUCUCAGAUUCCUCUUCUCCCUAUGCAUGACUAACUACACUAUUUCUCAUUUGAAUUUAGAGGAAAUAGGCUGAGGGCAGCCACUUGCAUCUUCUGUGUAUCCAGCCACACAGCUUCUCUUCUCCUUGAUUAAGUUUGAUACCUUCUCUGCUGAAAUUAUUCUUUCACUAACUUUCUUGUUCUUUAGAGCAAUAAAGCGGAAACGAUGCUAAAUGAGAAAAAGACUGUCUCCCAUCCCAUUCAUCCCACAUCUACUGGGCACCUCAUAUGAGCACUAUUCUGCUUCUGGACAUAAUUCAAAAAAGAUUUCUCACUCUCUCUUUCUCUUUCUCUCUUUUCCUCUCUCUUUUUCUCAUUCUCUUGACCCACCCCCCUCUAACUCCCUGUGCCAGACUCUGACUAUAGGACGAACAUCUGCUUGCAUGACUGACUAUAGGACCAACAUAGCAUAAGUGAUCAGUAUCGGCUGACUGAAUCUCUAAAAGGAUCCAGAUAAAGAGAAGAGCGGGCCCAAAAAGAAAAAGAAGAGGAAAAGGAGAACAGAGAAAGUAAGGAGAAAAAGAAGCAAAGGACAAAAGCAAAGGUAAGAGAUGAAAACAAGAAGCCAAGCAAGGAGGCUGCUAGUAAAAGGUGGGAAGAAAGAGAAAAGGGCAGUGAAGGGUCAAGAAAAAAGAGUUCUAUUCUUGCUCCAGCCCAUCUUCUAUCUUGCUCUACAGCACCACACCACCUCCCCAGCAGACCCCCAUACCUAGGCCCUAAAUUUUUCCAAGCUCGGAAAAGGAAGCCUGUUCCACAUGGUCCUCCAGAAGCCAUUACAGAUAGAAUCACUUUAACUUCAUCCGCAAUAGAGAAGUGCAGUUGUGCAAAACCCAAGAGUCUUAUGUGAUUGUUGUAGAGGCUCAGGGUGGGCAGCAGGGAAGAACAUGGGUAAAGGAUACACUAAACUCUUCCAGUCCACAUCCAGAGACAAACUCAGAGCAGAGCAGGAAACAAAUGGAUGGCCAGGACUACAGUACGGACUACAGCAGCUCUUCACUUACUCCUUUCCAGGGUAAGGGAAAGGAGAGGCAGAGAGCUUAGAGAAACUAGGCAUCAUCACCUUAUCCUACCAUCUCUAAUCCUAGGAACAAAAUGCAAGUUGGGUGACCCAUAGGGCAAGGAAGAAUUCCAUCUGCAUGAUACCUAAGAUCAGGAGAACUAUAUGAGAAAGAAGAAGUAAAAAAGGAAGAGGAACAGGAGAAGGUGAAGAGAAAAAAG